rnacentral:lncRNA from 1 species
AUCAAAUAACAAACAAACACCAUACACAACCCACAAGAAAACACAAAAAAAACCCUAAACCCAAACCUAAAACCGAAUACCCAAACACAAAUCCAAAUACCCAAACCCACAAUAAACGAACUUACCUUCGUCCACCGAUGCUCGAUUCCGGAACUUGCCAUUUCAGAGCAGUGGAGAGCAAGGGAGACGACGAGACUAUGGAGAAGAGUAGUCCGUUAGCAAGGGAGACGACGAUAACUGUGAGAGAGAAACGAGAGAAACCUCACAUUCAAACUCAAAAUGCUCAGGGGUAAAAAAGGGAAACAAAAACUAUCUAAAACUCUGCAUUUUUCAAACCAAAUUUAAAAAAAAAAAAAAAACAUAUUGGCCAAUAGCAUGUUGACACGUGGCAGUGUCAAAUGAGUGUCAAUUCUAUGGUGUCAAAAUAAUGGGAUCC